GCUACAAUGGCCUAUGUGGUUAGAGCGUCCGCCUCGGAUGCGGGAUGUCGUGGGUUCGAUCCCCGGUCGAGACA